rnacentral:rRNA from 1 species
GCGUGUUCCUCCCUGGCCGAAAGGCCCGGGUAACCCGCUGAAACUCCUUCGUGCUUGGAAUUGGGGCUUGCAAUUGUUCCCCAUGAACGAGGAAUUCCCAGUAAGCGCGAGUCAUAAGCUCGCGUUGAUUACGUCCCUGCCCUUUGUACACACCGCCCGUCGCUACUACCGAUUGAAUGAUUUAGUGAGGUCUUCGGACUGGUGACAAUUGGCUGCGUCUCGGUGUAGCCGGUGUUGCCGGAAAGAUGACCAAACUUGAUCAUUUAGAGGAAGUAAAAGUCGUAACAAGGUUUCCGUAGGUGAACCUGCGGAAGGAUCAUUA